CCCCCCCCCCCCCCCCCAACCUUACCGUGGUUUUGCUUGGAGUCCUGGAGUUCCUUUCUCUUCAGUCGUUUUGGUGUACUCGCUUUUUUUUUUUGCUCGCUUUAUGAUUCGGGGCGUUAGCUUCCCCCAGGACAUUUCAGGCCUUCUGCUCUCCUCUCUCCAGGCUACCACGAGAGUACUAUUGGGAGAAAGUAUCAUGGAAGUUCUGCGCCCACAGCUUAUAAGACUUGGUGGACGGAUUUACAGAAAAAAUCCCAUCCAAGAACAGACUUAUCAACAUGAAGAAGAAGAUGAAGACUUCUAUCAAGGCUUCAUGGAGUGUGCAGAAGAGCCCUGUGAUGCCUACGAGGUGGUGCAGACCCAGCAAGGUUUCCGGUGUACCGUGAAGGCCCCCAGCCUGCUCUACAAGCAUAUAGUUGGAAAGAGAGGGGACACUAGGAAGAAACUAGAAGUGGAAACCAAAACUUCUAUUAGCAUUCCUAAGCCUGGACAAGAAGGAGAAAUUGUAAUCACUGGACAGCAUCGAAGUGGUGUUAUUUCAGCCCGAACUCGGAUCGAUGUUCUUUUGCUCACUUUUAGAAGAAAGCAGCCCUUCACUCACUUCCUUGCCUUUUUCCUCAAUGAAGUUGAGGUUCAGGAGCGAUUCCUGAAGUUCCAAGAGGAAGUACUGGAGAAGUGCUCCAUGGAUCAUGGGGUUGAUAGCACCAUUUUCCAGAAUCCCAGAAAGCUUCACCUAACUAUUGGAAUGUUGGUACUUUUGAGUGAGCAAGAGAUCCAGCAGACGUGUGAGAUGCUACAGCAGUGUAAAGAGGAAUUCAUUGAUGACAUUUCUGGGGGCAAACCCUUAGAGGUAGAGAUGGCAGGGAUAGAAUACAUGAACGAUGAUCCCGGCAUGGUGGAUGUUCUUUAUGCCAAAGUCCAUAUGAAAGACGGCUCCAACAGGCUGCAAGAAUUAGUCGAUCGAGUGCUGGAACGUUUUCAGGCAUCUGGACUAAUAGUGAAAGAGUGGAAUAGUGUGAAACUCCAUGCUACAGUCAUGAACACUCUAUUCAGGAAGGACCCCAAUGCUGAAGGCAGGUACAAUCUCUACACAGCGGAUGGCAAAUACAUCUUCAAGGAAAGAGAAUCAUUUGAUGGCCGAAACAUUUUAAAGGAAACAAACAUGUACAAACUAAGAAAUGAUAGGCUUCACAGAUCAUGUGAACAGAGGAAAGCAGGAUGGUUGGAUUUUAUCUGUCAUGGAAGCCUUGGCUUUGACCUAUUAAAAAAACAAAAUUCAACUGAGUACAUUUAAAGAUCUGAUUGACUUUAUUAAAUGAUUCAUGAAUCCGGCAGCAUCUCAUCCUUGCAGAUAAAAAGGAGCUCCAAGGAGACGUACAAAAUGGAAGGCUUUUAUUGGAAGAAGGGAGUUGGCUCUUUGAGAACUUCUACUUUGGCACCCUGAAGCUCAAUUCCAUUCACAUCUCUCAGAGGUUCACGGUAGACAGCUUUGGGAACUACGCCUCCUGUGGGCAAAUUGACUUCUCCUGAGGAGGAUCUUGGGAAGUGCCAAAAAUUGAACAUCCUCCCGAGGUGCCAGGGGAAAGAAGAUCUUUGUUUUUAUUGCCGACGAGGGAUGUGGAAAUUUGGAUGGUGACUUUCCUGGGUGGUUCCCCACAACACAGCAUGGUCUCUAAUAUAAUACUUGUCCACAGUCAGCAAACUGCCGGUCAGCCCAGGUGGUUGUGGGCACAAGGGGAACUUGUGUCUGGAACCCUUGGCUUGUUCCUCUUUCACAGGGUCUACUUUCUUUCUGAAGCUCUUCUCUGGAAACGUACCUCUCAAGCCCACUGGAGCUAAGAUUCACAUUAUUUCUUACACACAUACUGAUUUUGCCCCAGCCGUUAAGCUCUUUCAUAUUUAACACUUUAAAAGAGAGUUUUAUUUUUUUAUUUUUAUUUUUUAAUAUAUGAAAUUUAUUGUCAAAUUGGUUUCCAUACAACAGCCAGUGCUCAUCCCAAAAGAUGCCCUCUUCAAUACCCACCACCUACCCUCCCCACCCUCCCACCCCCCCCAUCAACCCUCAGUUUGUUCUCAGUUUUUAAGAGUCUCUUACGCUUUGGCUCUCUCCCACUCUAACCUUGAAAGAGAGUUUUAAAGACAUGGUUUCAUUACCGUCUCCACGUAAAUCGAAUGUCUCCAGUUUUAACCAGGUUUGAUUUUUACUUCCCUUUGUACUGUAACUUUUAAUCACUACCCAGAAUUCCUUUGUGGUAAAAAACACACGACAUAAAGUUUACCAUCUUAACCAUUUCUUUGUAAGUAUGUAGUUCAGUAGUAGUAAGUAUAUUCACGUUGUUGUGAAACAUCUCCAGAACUUUCUCAUCCUGCAAAUCUGAAACUAUACCCAUUAAACAACUCUCCGUGUCCCCCUCCCCCAAGUCUCUGGCAGCCACCCUUCUGCUUUCUCUUUCUAUGAGCUUGACUGCUUUAGAUACCGCAUAUGAGUGGAAUCAUACGGUAUUUGUCUUUUUGUGACUGGCUUAUUUCACUUAGCGUGACGUCCUCAAGGUUCAUCCACGUUGUGUAGUGCAUGUCAGAAUUUCCUCCCUUUAAGAAAGGCCAAAUAAUACUUUGUUUUACGUGUACCCUGUGUUUUGUUUAUCCAUUCAGCCACCGAUGGAUGCUUGGGUUCCUUGACUGUCGUGAACAGUCCUCUGUGAACACGGCUGUACAGAUACCUCUUCCUGAUCCUGCUUUCAGUUCCUUUACUACUCAGUUUUAUCUUCAGCGAAAUAACAUCACGUUUUUUUUUUGAUCUUUUACUUUGGUCUGUCCUUUUUCUUCUGAAGUUGGUAGCCUUUUAUGUUUGUUGGAUUCCUGUUCCUUAUCCUACCCCCCCACCCCCAGCCUUCCCAGGCCAGUGAUGGAGUUGCAGUAUCGUAGCUCCUUUGUGUCAACUCCGCGGGGCAGCAGCAGUAGAAACAGCGAUGGCACCAGCAGGGCCGUCCACGGUUCCACAGGGUAGAGUCAGCUGCGGAAGGACCGUCUCCCUUCCUUGCUCCAGCCUCGCUCUCACCUUCCUCUCCUCUUCACAUUUCUUCUCCCUCCAUGUCCCCUCUUUCUCUUUCCUUCAUUCCUUACUCUUGAUUCUUUCUGUUUGAAAAGUGUGAUUCUGAACCCUGUGCAUUAAGGCCACUACCUAGUAAGGGCUGUGUAGAACACUCAGGUUUGCUUAUCAGUGCGACUGCCCAGAUCACUUGUGAAUAAAUGAAUUUCCAGAGUUACUGUUUUUCUUUCACUCUCACACAGUUUUAGUUUGACUCCCUUAGUCAACGUAUGUCGGGACACAGUGUUGCCAUCACUUAGUUGCUGGCAUAGCUGUCAACCGUUCCUCCAGAACUUACAUGUUCGUGCCUGCAGGGUUGGUUUUUCCCCACUUAGUAACAUGAGAUUUUAUCUCGUUUACCUUCAGUGGUUGGAUGGCGAGGUGUGCACGGUGCAACGAGUUCUCCCAGAGAUUGUGCUGCAUAGCAACGUUGACAGUGGAGUUUGGUGCCCUCACCUCAUCUCCGCGCAUCUCUCUUUCGGCCUUCUUUCUGCCACCCGCCACUGGGCAGCCUUGCCCAGGAAGUAAAGAUGUCUUGUUUUGUUUUUAA